UUCUUCCUGAUUAUCCGCUUUCCUUCUCAAGCUGCAAACAUCACUCUACCUAAAGUCAAGAUCCUACCACCUUCUCCAAAAGAACUCUGUUCCCAGAACAAGACAGAUAAAUGGUCAACUUUAGUGUGUGUGGCCACAGGCUUUUAUCCUGAUCAUGUGAGCGUGUCCUGGAAAGUGAAUGGCGAAGAGAGACAGGACUGGGUCUCAACUGACACCUCAGCCCAACAGGACAAGACAACAUUAAUGUACCAUAUCAGCAGCAGAAUGAAAAUUGAUGACAUGGACUGGAUAGAUCCCAAAAAUAACUUCACCUGCACCGUCCAUUUCUUCAAUGGAGAGGAUUGUAUCAAUGUCACAAACACCAUAAAUGGUCAAAAAGUGAAGCCGAAAGGAUUGAAACUGCUUGGCUUUGGCUACAUCCUAUUCCUCAGCAAAAGCCUGCUGUAUGCGCUGAUUGUGGCUGGUUUGGGCUGA